rnacentral:ncRNA from 1 species
UUCUAGAUGGGCUAUUUUAUUUUUAUUAAUUCUCAUUAGUUGUUAUUGGUUGGUCAAGUAUUCUUGUAUUUAGCAAUAUGUUUUUAGUUUCGGUUAAAUUUUGUGCCAGCAGCCGCGGUUAUACUUUGGAGGCAUUUGAAUGUGUUCGGCAUAGGUAGUUUUAUUGUGAAGUUUAAAUAAUUUAUUUUGGUUGUUGUUAGGUGAAAUUUUUUUUGUCGUUAUUUUUUCUUAUCUAUUUGUAAUCUAUGAAAUUCUUUAUAUAGACUAGGAUUAGAUACCCUAUUAUUUUUGAAUGUAAAUGUUUUGUGCUUGAGUAGUAUUAGUUAUGUUCUUGAAACUUAAAGAAUUUGGCGGUAUCUCAUUCCGUCCAGAGGAAUCUGUCCCGUUAUCGAUAGUCCGCGUUGGACCUUACUUAGUUGCUUUGGUUUGUAUACCGCCGUUUAUUGAUUAUCUUUUUAGAGUUUCUUAAUUUUCUAGUUUCUUUAUUUUGAUUUAUUUCAGGUCAAGGUGCAGCUUGUUUCUAAGUGGAAUUAGAUGGAUUACACUAUUAUUGGUUUUUGGAUUGUUAGUUUAAAUAUUGGCAUGAAAUUGGAUUUGGUUGUAAUAAUUUGUAGAUUGUUAUUAUGAUAAUUGGCUCUGAGAUAUGUACACAUCGCCCGUCACUCUCGUUUUAUUGUUAAUGAGAUAAGUCGUAACAAAGUGGUUGUACCGGAAGGUGCAGCUGGAUUGAAAU